rnacentral:rRNA from 1 species
AGUGAACGCUGGCGGUAGGCCUAACACAUGCAAGUCGAACGGCAGCACAGUAAGAGCUUGCUCUUACGGGUGGCGAGUGGCGGAUGGGUGAGGAAUACAUCGGAAUCUACUUUUUCGUGGGGGAUAACGUAGGGAAACUUACGCUAAUACCGCAUACGACCUACGGGUGAAAGCAGGGGAUCUUCGGACCUUGCGCGAUUGAAUGAGCCGAUGUCGGAUUAGCUAGUUGGCGGGGUAAAGGCCCACCAAGGCGACGAUCCGUAGCAGGUCUGAGAGGAUGAUCAGCCACACUGGAACUGAGACACGGUCCAGACUCCUACGGGAGGCAGCAGUGGGGAAUAUUGGACAAUGGGCGCAAGCCUGAUCCAGCCAUACCGCGUGGGUGAAGAAGGCCUUCGGGUUGUAAAGCCCUUUUGUUGGGAAAGAAAAGCAGCAGGUUAAUACCCCGCUGUUCUGACGGUACCCAAAGAAUAAGCACCGGCUAACUUCGUG